CCCAUGUCAUGUGUCAGCUUUCUUCUACAUGAAAAUGCAGUUUACGAUCGGUAUAUCAUGUAUCCAAUGGAUAAAUAUGGUUAUCAUACAUGUCUGUGUCCAUGUAACCAUAUAUCCAAGGUACAGAAAUGUGGCUAUCAUAUACGUCUUGGUCAAGAAAAAUCCUAUAUAAAUUCCAGUCAGUCAUAGUUGAGAAACGAAAACACAUAGCUUUAGCGUGACCAUUUCACUUUCACACAAUCUAGCACUUCCAGUGAGAGAGAAGAGAAGAGAAGAAAAAUGAUUGGUCCAGCCAAGAACUCCGUUCCUGCUACUAAUCCCACCAAGAAACUUCUUCUCUCCCCGGAUUCCAUCAUCAAUCUCGACCAUGGCGAUCCGACGAUGUUCGAGCCGUACUGGAGGAAACUCGGUGAAAAGUGUACGGUGGAGAUUUCAGGCAGUGAUUUGAUGAGUUACUGCAGUGACAUUGGGAACAUAUGCUGGUUUCUAGAGCCCCAACUCUCCGACGCGAUCAAAAGGCUGCAUCGUACGGUUGGAAAUGCAGUAUCAGAGGAUCGAUACGUGGUGGUGGGGACGGGCUCAACGCAGCUAUAUCAGGCUGCGCUCUUCGCUCUUACUUCUCCUGGUGGGGCCGAAGCUGACCCCAUCAGCGUUGUGUGCGCCGCUCCUUACUACUCGUCAUAUCAAGAGGAGACAGACUUUCUGCGAUCAGGGCUCUAUAAAUGGGCAGGUGAUGCGUAUUCCUUUGAUAAGGAUGGACCUUACAUAGAGAUUGUCACCUCACCAAACAAUCCUGAUGGUGCUAUUCUAGAAGCUGUGGUGAACCGAAAGGAAGGGAAGCUUAUCCAUGAUCUUGCCUAUUACUGGCCACAAUACACACCCAUUACUCACCCUGCAGAUUAUGAUAUCAUGCUGUUUACAUUUUCCAAAAGCACUGGACAUGCUGGUUCUCGAAUUGGAUGGGCUCUUGUUAAUGAUAAAGUGGUGGCUAGGAAGAUGACUAAAUUCAUAGAGGUUAGCUCCACUGGUGUGUCUAAAGAAUCGCAGCUCCGAGCUGCAAAGAUCCUAGGAGUUGCUAUUGAAGGUUGCCAGCAUUCUGAUUCGGAGAACUUCUUCAAGUACGGCCAGUGCCUGAUGGCUGAAAGAUGGGAGAAACUGCGAGAUGUUGUUAAAAACAGUCAAAUUUUCAGUCUGCCCAAGUACCCACAAGAAUGGUGCAACUUCAUCAGCAAGUACUCAGAAUCACAUCCUGCCUUUGCAUGGUUGAAGUGCAAGGAGGAUACAAACUGUGAAAGUCUUCUAAGAGCACAUAAGAUACUGACAAGAGGCGGAGAGCGUUUCGGAGUUGGCCAAGAGUACGCCAGGAUUAGCUUGCUCAGUCGAGAACGAGAUUUUAACCAAUUUCUAGAGAGGCUAUCAGGAAUAAAAACUGCGGGGCAGGGAAUCAGAACCACCUGAAUUUUAGACAUAUUAAGAGGGCAUGGUAAUUUUAUAUUUAGAACCCCAAGGAUGAUAAUGUAGCUUUGAUUUAUCCAUCUGAAGGUUUAGGUCUUACCAUCUGCAGCUUUGAAUUUUGGUAAACACAGUUAGGUUACCUUUGAAUCUGUGUAUACACAGUGGAAUCCUGACAGGAUUUACACAAUUACCCUAUUAAUAGUUGCUGCAAUAAUAAGGUGUCUUAUCAAGCAGUGGAAUACAGCAAAGUUUAAUAAUCCAUAAGAAACAAGAAUUCCAUAAUAAG
rnacentral:misc_RNA from 1 species